rnacentral:rRNA from 1 species
GUCCCGCAACGAGCGCAACCCUUGUCCGUUGUUGCCAUACUUUAAAAAGUGGAACUCGACGGAGACCGCCAGCGACAAGCUGGAGGAAGGUGGGGACGACGUCAAGUCAUCAUGGCCUUUAUGUCCAGGGCUACACACGUGCUACAAUGGGCGGUACAAAGGGUUGCUAACCCGCGAGGGGGAGCCAAUCCCAAAAAGCCGUCCUCAGUUCGGAUUGCCCUCUCGCUCUCGCCUGCAUGAAGCUGGAAUCGCUAGUAAUGGCAUAUCAGAACGAUGCCGUGAAUACGUUCCCGG